GCUCCCCCAUCACCGAAAUGGCUUCCUAACCCCUCUGCCCCGCCGUGACCCAUCCUAGAGUUACCCCAUCGCGGCAACCACCUCGCCCUUGCUAUAAAUAGAGCCUCGCUGCACUACCGCGCCACACCCUAGAGACCACAGAGCCAAGCCCAGCCCCGCAGAGGACCAAGGGGAGGUCUUCUUCCCUGCCUCUAGCCACCCGGAUCCACUUCGGGUCCGGGCAAAAAUUCGUGCUUGGUCGUGGCGGUUAGAUCCAUCCUAGCCCGAGGCUGGCUAUCGCCAGAGAGGAUGUUGGCGACGUUGUGGUUCUCGCCAUCGAGCAGGUCCACCACCCCUCAACGCAGAAUCGCCUCCUGAGUCUGCUUGUGCCACCCCCUUCCCCUGGCUCGCCGUCAAUCAACAUCGGCCACCACCGCGACCCCCUGCUGCCGGUGAAAUUUUUGAACCUAAUAGCAGUGGCCCACGCAUCAACUUUCUUUUCUUUGCGGACUAUUAUCUGAAAACAUAUUUUCCCAAAUAUGUUUUCCCUUCUGGUCCAGCCCAGUUUCAAUUGAAACGUUUUCUCUUUUCUUAGUUUUAACCCUGGAUACUUUUCUAUUUAUCACAGAUAAGUCCCUGGGAGCAUUUUUCCUA